AUAUAGAUUACUACUAUUUUGAACAUAGUAACCUGAAGAACUUUCAGUGGGAGUAGAAUAUGUAAGUUCCAUGCCAUUGGAUUUGCCACUUAAAACUCAUUAGUCUUUGGAGAGAUUAUUUUCAGCAAAGUGAUGGGAACAGAAUACCAGAAUGGAUGUGAUUAAUUAAGAAUGCAUCAGGAAGUAGAGCAUGUGGCAAGGAAUGCUUUCUCUCUGGGAUUUCCGUGAGGAGUGGAUGCUCUUUCUCACUCUGGAAAAUAUGGCAAACUUCUCACACAUGGCAACCAGCCUAGGGCUCCUUGGAGAAGAAGACCACUGAGAGAAGGAGGAGCCCUAUGCUGCCUGGCUUGGACCUUGAAGAAGACAGUGCUCAGUUAAGGUGAAGGUAAAAUCCUAGAUGGGCAGUUCUACAAAACAGUGUGUACAUUGAUGUCUUAAGGAUCAACCAUGCAGGAGAGUGUAAUAGUAGCUAAAAGUUACUGCUUUUUAAAUUUUUGUCAAUGCGUGCUUGUCUUCUUGUGUUAAACGUAUCUUUUGUGUGGAAAAAAUAAACAUUUGUCUCC